UCUACGGGAGGCUGCAGUGAGGAAUAUUGGUCAAUGGACGAGAGUCUGAACCAGCCAAGUAGCGUGAAGGAUGACUGCCCUAUGGGUUGUAAACUUCUUUUAUAUGGGAAUAAAUGUUCCACGUGUGGGAUUUUGUAUGUACCAUAUGAAUAAGGAUCGGCUAACUCCGUGCCAGCAGCCGCGGUAAUACGGAGGAUCCGAGUGUUAGCCGGAUUUAUUGGGUUUAAAGGGUGCGUAGGCGGAAUGUCAAGUCAGCGGGAAAAUCGCGGGGCUCAACCUCGCCCCGCCGUUGAAACUGGCAUUCUUGAGUGGGCGAGAGGUAGGCGGAAUGCGUGGUGUAGCGGUGAAAUGCAUAGAUAUCACGCAGAACUCCGAUUGCGAAGGCGGCAUACCGGCGCCCAACUGACGCUGAAGCACGAAAGCGUGGGUAUCGAACAGGAUUAGAUACCCUUGUAGUC
rnacentral:rRNA from 1 species